UACGUAGGCAGCAAGCGUUGUUCGGAUUUACUGGGCGUAAAGGGUGUGUAGGCGGUUCUCUAAGUUUGGUGUGAAAUCUCCCGGCUUAACCGGGAGGGUGCGCCGAAAACUGGGGGGCUAGAGUGCGGGAUGGGUAAGUGGAAUUCCUGGUGUAGCGGUGAAAUGCGUAGAUAUCAGGAGGAACACCUGUGGUGUAGACGGCUUACUGGACCGCAACUGACGCUGAGACACGAAAGCGUGGGUAGCAAACAGG
rnacentral:rRNA from 1 species